CAUGACAUAGUAAAUGGUAAAUGGGUUGUACUUGUAUAGCGCUUUUCUACCCCUUUUUAAGGAGCCCAAAGCGCUUUGACAGUAUUUCCGCAUUCGCACAUUCACACACACAUUCACACACUGACGGCGGGAGUAGUAUAUUUAACAUGAUAACAUAUAUGGAUGCUUCUAGAAAGACUUGGUGAUGUUAUUUAAAAUAAUUAGAUGACAAUUCAAAAGCUUCACCUGAAAGAAUAGUGUAAGAUCGCCCCCUGGAGGAAGAUUCAUGUGCGAACCAGUGAGCUUCACGUGGAAAAAACAUGCCUGCAGGACUUCCCAAGCUGUUCUUUGUUUCCGGAAGCGUUCGCUGGCCCAGACUGUUAUUUGAUCAUCUCCCAAAUCUUUGCCAGGUUCCGUGGCACAGAGUGUGACCUCACUCGGCAGGAAUGUGUACAUGGAGGAGGUCGUGUUACAACACGUGUCCAGUAGAACCUUGUCCAGGACCUUCUAGGAUGGACUUCUGCAGCCUCACAAGGGCCGCUGGGGCGUGCAUGAAGAAGUGGAGUGGUAGUGUCCCAGCAGCGUGACGAUCAUACGAUUCAUGGCUCCUCAUAUGAAACUCACCGCAGGUCACAUUCCACACGAGUCACAUGACCUGCUGCUCCCGUUGUCCUGGGGAACACGCCGUGGAGGAUCAGCACAAGAUGCUGGCAGGCCAGAUCUGGCCCGCGGGACGUGGUUUUGGGACCUGUGAUGUAGAUUAUCCUUCCAACAAGCAAAGUGCAGUAAAAAGUGAGGUCACGUUCAGGUGCUUGUUUACGAGUCGGGACAUGAAAACAUGGAGGCGGCCACGUUUUUUUGACGUCGUCAUCGAGCAGCAGGAGUGGAAUGACUCAAGGCGACGGCGGGCAGUGUCAUCAUGGUGACCAGGCACGUACUGUGGAUAUUUUUCUAUUUCUUUUGAGUGUGAGACGUUUAGCAACUCACACUGGGGUUCAACCAAUCAGAUCGCUGAUCCCGCCCUCCACAUCUUUGAUGGGUGACUUUUACAAAUUUCAUCUUGUUCAUGUUGCAUUGCAUAUUACAGUUUUAUUCUUAAUUAGCACCUCCUUUUAUUGUGAUUGUGAAACAAAAUGCAGAAGUAACAUACAUUGAAUAAUAGCUAACUUUAAAAAAAAUGUGCUAAAUAAUACACAAUUGCCCAAAAUAAAAAUGCAGUUACAUUUAAUUGAAGAAAAAAAUGCUAUUAAAUAAAAUACAUGUCGUUAAGUAAUUGAAAGGGUCACAAAAUCAAUAAAUUCAUGUAAUAAUGGACUAAAUGGCAUUUAUUAGGGACGUGAAUCUUACAACAACUCGAUUCAAACCGAUUUCUCCCAAUAUAUUAUUUAAUAUAAAAAUGAUAAUACAUUGGAUUUACCAUAGACAGGCUAUGAUUAGCAUUAGCGAUUUUACACGUCGAUUUCAAUACACUCAAAAACUCACUAUUAUGUUAGAUCCACUAUGGACUGGACUGCCACAAUAUUAUUUUAGAUCCACUCGAUGUCCAUUGCACCGGUUGCCCUGGUGGGGGGGUUUCCCCAAAUCUGCGGUCCUGUCCAAGGUUUCUCAUUAUUCCGUUGGAUUGAGUUUUUCCUAGCCCUAAUGUGGGAUCUGAGCCGAGGAUGUGGUUGUGGCUUUUGCAGCCCUUUGAGACACUCGUGAUUUAGGGCUAUAUAAGUAAACAUUGAUUGAUUGAUUGAUUGAUUGAGUAGUGAAAACAUACAACAAAGAUUAAUCUUACAAUCAAACAGCUAGUUUGUAAUAAGCACAAUACUUACAGGAUAAAGACUUUGUAUGGCGCAACGUACCCAAUGGAAAAGACGACAAAUCAUAGCUUACACAGUACUGCCGUCUAAUGUCUUCGAAGUGCAACUGCAUUGCAAAUUAGACUAAGAAAAGUGAUAAAAAAAUGUUACGUUAAAAUACAACAUUUUAUUAUCAAACAAUUACAUUUAGUAACACACACAAAAGUACCGAAAAUUGGUACAAUUGAGUAUCGAUUGCCAGGUACGGGGAACUGGUACUGUAUACGAUACUCAUCCCUACUUAUGACGUAUGCAUCAUGUAUACAUGCGAUAAACAACUUUUUAAAAAUGUUUUUGUGAAAAAAAUGUAAAUAAAUUAGAAUCGGAUUUGGAUGUCAAUUGAUAUUUUUGUAUUUCGCGACUGACUGAACGAGGUAUUUCACAUUUGAAAUAAUGAAUCACAUUUUGAUAAGUACUUUAUGUUCCGGACUACAGAGUGCACCCAUUAAAUUUGAGGGAAAUAAGUAUUUUUCCAUAUAUUAGCCACAUUGGACUAUAAACCACAUACAAAUAUACGUUGUGAAAUUAGUUAUUUACUCAGAAAUAAUUUAUAAAUGUUUGUUUACAUACCUUAAUUGAUUCCAAACGGUGUCUGUUAAACAGAUGAUCAAACAAAACAAGUCAUCGUCAUGGACCCACUGUGCAACCUAGCUCUCCAAACAGCUAAACAGACUCAAUAACUCCACGUUGACGUUUUGGUGAAUUUACUGAGGAAUUUGUGAAACUGCAGCAAUACAAAAAGAAUGCCGUUGUAAGUUAAUACUAACAUGGACACUCGUAAACGUGUUAGCAUAUUAGCUAAUGCUAACGACGCUAGUUUGAUUACAUUACAGUAGCAAGUAGAAAUAUGCAUGAAAACACUCCUACAGACAUCACACAUGGGACGCUUUAGUAAGUAUGAAUAGUUUUAGUUAUAUUGUAAAACUUACAAAGGCUGCUUGGAGUGAUGAAUGAAGAAUCCAUAUAAGUAGAACACUAUGCACGAUUGGAAGACAGAACAGCUUGCGGUUGUAAAGCUCUAAACAGAAGGGCACGGCGGCACCUGCAGUGAGCAAAGUUGCCCAAAAGAUGGCGCCAUAGCACAAAAAAUAACACACUUUUUCAGUGUCUUUGCUUGUUUUUCAAAAAUAUUUGCAUUAUGACCGUCAACAAAGAAAAAUCCAUAAAUUAACAAGAACCGUUUUCAUAAUCCGCAGGGUUCAAAGCUUAGGAAAAAAAAUAGCGGCUUAAAGUUAGGAAUUUACGGUAGUUACUUAUUUAAUUUCCGCACGCUGUUCCAUUUUUUGCAAUGUAAAUAGAAAUGAUUCAAACCGAAUGAAUCUGUAAGGUUGUGGACAACGUAAAAGCUACGUGAAUAUUUCACAUUGUUUAUUGUCGAAGAUAGAAAUGUCCAAUAAUAUCAGACUGACGAUAUUAUCGGCCGAUAAAUGCUUUAAAAUGUAAUAUCGGAAAUUAUCUGUAUUGGUUUCAAAAAGUAAAAUGUAUGACUUUUUAAAACGCCGCUGUGUACAAGGAUGUAGGGAGAAGUACAGAGCGCCAAAAAACCUUAAAGGCACUGCCUUUGCGUGCCGGCCCAAUCACAUAAUAUCUCCGGCUUUUCACACACACAAGUGAAUCCAAAGCAUACUUGGUCAAUAGCCAUACAGGUCACAUAGAGGGUGGCGGGAUAAACAACUUUUAACACUGUUACAAAUAUGCGCCACUCUGUGAACCCACACCAAACAACACUGACAAACACAUUUCGGGAGAACAUUCGCACUGUAACACAACAUAAGCACAACAGAACAAAUACCCGUAACCCCUUGCAGCACUAAGUCUUCGGGGACGCUCCAAUAUGCCCCCCCGCUACCCCAUACCCCCCCACCUCAACUCCGCCCACCUCAACCUCCUCAUGCUCUCUCAGGGAGAGCAUAUCCCAAAUUCCAAGCUACUGUUUUGAGGCAUGUUCAAAAAAAAUUAUGCACUUUGUGACUUCAUUAAUAAAUAUGGCAGUGCCAUGUUGGCAUUUUAUUUCCAUAACUUGAGUUGAUUUAUUUUGGAAAACCUUGUUACAUUGUUUAAUGCAUCCAGUGGGGCAUCACAACAAAAUUAGGCAUAAUAAUAUGUUAAUUCCACGACUGUAUAUAUCUGUAUCAGUUGAUAUCGGAAUCGGUAAUUAAAGAGUUGAACAAUAUCGGAAUAUUGGCUAUUGGCAAAAAAGUCAUUAUCGGACAUCUCCAUUCGAACACGUGUAAAAAGAUGACAAAAAAUAUGCUCGAUAAGAGUUUGAACGUUGGACGUUUUAGGACAACUUCAAUUGUCGGACAAGUUUCUCGCUAAUGCUCGUGCAAGAAGGCGUACAGAAAAACGAGCCACUUGAAAGCAGCGUGCUGUCGCCGUGGCAACCAUUAGCGACAACGAGGCCUCACACAACAAACAAUAAACACUUUCUCUUAGUGUCUGCUUUUCAUCGCGGACAGAUUAAAAUGUUGGGAGGGGGGGGGGCAGAGA